rnacentral:rRNA from 1 species
CUUGACAUACCGAUGACAGGUCUAGAGAUAGAUUUUCCCUUUUAGGGCAUCGGAUACAGGUGGUGCAUGGUUGUCGUCAGCUCGUGUCGUGAGAUGUUGGGUUAAGUCCCGCAACGAGCGCAACCCCUAUUGUUAGUUGCCAUCAUUAAGUUGGGCACUCUAGCGAGACUGCCAGUAAUAAACUGGAGGAAGGUGGGGAUGACGUCAAAUCAUCAUGCCCCUUAUGACCUGGGCUACACACGUGCUACAAUGGGAAGUACAACGAGUUGCGAGGCGGUGACGCCAGGCUAAUCUCUUAAAGCUUCUCUCAGUUCGGAUUGUAGGCUGCAACUCGCCUACAUGAAGUCGGAAUCGCUAGUAAUCGCGGAUCAGCACGCCGCGGUGAAUACGUUCCCGGGCCUUGUACACACCGCCCGUCACACCACGAGAGUUUGUAACACCCGAAGUCGGUGAGGUAACCGUAAGGAGCCAACCGCCUAAGGUGGGAUAGAUGAUUGGGGUGAAGUCGUAACAAGGUAGGCGUAGAUGA